CUACGGGAGGCAGCAGUGAGGAAUAUUGCAUAAUGGGGGGAACCCUGAUGCAGCAACGCCGCGUGGAGGAUGACGCAUUUCGGUGUGUAAACUCCUUUUAUAUGUCAAGAAAAUGACGGUAGCAUAUGAAUAAGCACCGGCUAACUCCGUGCCAGCAGCCGCGGUAAUACGGAGGGUGCAAGCGUUACUCGGAAUCACUGGGCGUAAAGGACGCGUAGGCGGGUUGGAAAGUCAGGUGUGAAAUCCUACAGCUUAACUGUAGAACUGCACUUGAAACUUCUAAUCUAGAGUAUGGGAGGGGGGGAUGGAAUUAGUGGUGUACGGGUAAAAUCCGUAGAUAUCACUAGGAAUACCUAAAGCGAAGGCGAUCUCCUGGAACAUUACUGACGCUAAGGCGUGAAAGCGUGGGGAGCAAACAGGAUUAGAUACCCCCGUAGUC
rnacentral:rRNA from 1 species